AACGAACGCUGGCGGCAGGCUUAACACAUGCAAGUCGAACGCCCCGCAAGGGGAGUGGCAGACGGGUGAGUAACGCGUGGGAAUCUACCCAGUUCUACGGAACAACUGAGGGAAACUUCAGCUAAUACCGUAUACGCCCUACGGGGGAAAGAUCUAUCGGAAUUGGAUGAGCCCGCGUUGGAUUGGCUAGUUGGUGAGGUAACGGCUCACCAAGGCGACGAUCCAUAGCUGGUCUGAGAGGAUGAUCAGCCACACUGGGACUGAGACACGGCCCAGAAUCCUACGUGAGGCAGAAGUGGGAAAUAUUAGACAAUGGGCGCAAGACUGAUCCAGCCAUGCCGCGUGAGUGAUGAAGGCCUUAGGGUUGUAAAGCUCUUUCAGUGGGUACGAUAAUGACGGUACCCACAGAAGAAGCCCCGGCUAACUUCGUGCCAGCCGCCGCGGUAA
rnacentral:rRNA from 1 species